UACGUAGGGUCCGAGCGUUGUCCGGAGUUACUGGGCGUAAAGCGCGCGCAGGCGGCGGUGUUGGCCCGGCGUGAAAGCCCCCGGCUCAACCGGGGAGAGUCGUCGGGGACCGCACCGCUUGAGGGCGGUAGGGGCUGGUGGAAUGCCUGGUGUAGUGGUGAAAUGCGUAGAGAUCAGGCAGAACACCUGGGGCGAAGGCGGCCAGCUGGGCCGUCCCUGACGCUGAGGCGCGAAGGCGUGGGGAGUGAACGGGG
rnacentral:rRNA from 1 species